GGUUCCAUAUGUAGCGGUUAGCACGUCGGCCUCGAGAGCAGAGAGUCCUGGGUUCGAUUCCCAGAGGAACCA